CCACUCUUAGGAUUGCAUCUGGAGAGUUUCCAGUACUCUACCAGUCUCGGCUAUGGGAGGGAGAGUCAAGCAGAGGCCUACCCAUUCCAUUCCUAGCUUGGGCAGUGGCUAGCAGUGGGAGGCCAUUUGCUACAAGU
rnacentral:snoRNA from 1 species